AAAUGAAUAGACGGGGGCCCGCACAAGCGGCGGAGCGUGCUCUUUAAUUCGUCGCAACGCGAAGAACCUUACCAGGGCUUGACAUGGAUCUGCAUCCCCGUGAAAGCGGGUGGCCUUCGAGGGUGAUCCACAGGUGCUGCAUGGCUGUCGUCAGCUCGUGUCGUGAGAUGUUGGGUUAAGUCCCGCAACGAGCGCAACCCUUGUGUCCAGUUGCGAUUUUCUGGACAGACUGCCGGGAGCAAACCGGAGGAAGGUGGGGAUGAUGUCAAGUCAGCAUGGCCCUUACGCCCUGGGCGAGAAGCACGCUACAAUGGCCAGGACAGCGGGUUGCCAAACGGUAACGUGGAGCUAAUCCCAGAAACCUGGUCUCAGUUCGGAUCGUGGGCUGCAACUCGCCCACGUGAAGGUGGAGUCGCUAGUAACCGCGGGUCAGCAGUACCGCGGUGAAUAUGUUCCCGGGCCUUGUACACACCGCCCGU
rnacentral:rRNA from 1 species